AUGGCAAACUGGCAAAGAAUCUUCUUCCUCACAUUUCUCUGGGGUCGUGUUUCUCUGGAUAAAGUUGAACAAAACUCAAGAGUUAAAACUGCUGUUGAAGGUGAAGAUGUAAUAAUCAACUGUCAGUAUGAAACCACUGAUACAUCGCCAUAUCUCUUCUGGUACCAGCAAAAAGUCAACAGUGUCCCAGAAUACAUGCUGAACAGAUUCAGUUCUGAUGAGGAGCAAUUCAAGGGUAGAUUUAGCAGCGAACUCAACACAAGUUCAAAAUCAUUUCCACUGAAGAUCCAGGAUGUGCGUGUGUCAGACUCUGCUGUGUAUUACUGUGCUCUGAGGCCCACAGUGACUCAAACACACUCAACACUCACACAAAAACACUGUGAGCCUCUGAGCAGUGUUCAUCAACUUGCUUUCUAUAAACCAGGCCUGUAA